rnacentral:lncRNA from 1 species
GAGCAGUGACUCAGAUGAGGAGGAAGACUCAGAGAUAGCAGAACAGUGCUCUAUGACAGUUCUGACUAAAAAAGAAGUGUUACAGGAAGUGCAGAAAGAAAGGAAAGAGAGGAAAAGGUUUCAGAAAAGAGUUAAACAGAUAGAGGAUGUCCUUGAACGGAAAGAAAGAGAAGAGUCAGAGAGAGAAGGAGUGCAAGGACCACUUCAAGCCUUAGACGUAGUUAUGCCAUUAAUUACCAAAAAUCAACAAACUUACUACCAACCGUGGGGACACGCAGAUAUGGCUGGGUUAAUCUCAAGAUUACCUUUUCUACAAGAAAGCGCUGCCAGUUUUAUUACCCGCCUGGAGAGUGAGAUGGAAGGCAAGCACCUGGCCGUUGGUGACGUGAAAGCGUUGCUAAGUCAGAUUCUCACUAAAGAGACUGCUACGGCUGUACUGGAGAGAGUGAAACUGGGAGCACUCAUGGGAGAUACACUGGUUGAUGACCUUUCAUUCGAUACCUAUCGGCCACAGAUAUGGAAAGCCCUGAGAGAGGCAUACCCCAACACGUUUUCUCUGUCCAGCAUGGCUGUCCCUAAGUUGAAAGCAGAUGAAAAUCCUGCUGUGUUCGUAGAACGGGUAGAAGCAGAUUGGAGAAUGAGAAUGGAGGCGGACCCAGAACAACAUCUUAUGAUGCGUCACAUGUUAAGACAGGCAAUCAUUGAUGCGCUCCCUCCAUCAGCUAAAAAAGAACUUGAAAAUGAGCAUCGGGUUGGAUCUAUGCCAAAAUCUGAAUUUAGGGAUGCGGUAACCCAUUUCGUCAAUCUGCACAGAAAGACAGAGGACAGUCUGCAAAAACAGGACAUUGACAGGCAGCGCAAGCUGGUUCAAAGUCAACUGGAUUAUGUGAAGGGAAUAAAGAAGGUGCCAAUACAGGCUCCGGUAGUGGGGGUUACACCUCAAACCUCUGCACCGGGCCUUGGACUGGAUCUAAUGCCUGUGCCAGUGUCUGCUCAAGGUCCCCCACAACAACCCCCUCUCCAACAGGUUUAUGGGCCCCCACCCCCAGCCUAUGGACAAUCAAACUGGACACAGCCUCCUCCAGGAAAUUUCAGAGGCAGAGGAAGGGGGGCGAGGAGAAGAAUGCAGAAUAAUGGCCCGCUGAUCUGUUGGACAUGUGGUCAACCAGGUCAUAUUUCAAGUGUGUGCG